rnacentral:lncRNA from 1 species
CAAUUCCCUAAGACAGAGUCAGAGGUUCGAACAGAAAGAAUAACCAACCCCUCCUCAGUCGAAGUAGGGGUUGGUUCCGAGCUUGCAACUUUGGUUCAACCGGGUGAAUGAAGAGGCCCCCCUGUCACUUGGGGGGCAAACGGUGAAGAUCGGCAUGGCAAUAUGUUCCCCGCCACACUAACUUGAAUUGGGGAGGCAAGGAGUAUCUUGGCUAGAACCGAUGAGCUACCUUUGAUCGGCUACCUUGAUGCUUGACUAGGAUCAAACUACUCCUGAGAGCAUCAACCCAUUGCUGCUUCUGCUGAACCUCGGGAGCACCUGAGAUCU